AUGUUUUCGCAGGGCGCCGCCAACGUUCCAUGCACUCUCCUGCACUUCAUGGACGACGAGUUAAUCGAUGUCGCCAAGGCCAAAAUCGUUGAACCGGGCAACCGAGUGUUCCAUGGUAAUCCAAUGCCACCCACCGCGUAUAGGGUUCAACUGGGUCGGGUGCUGCGGGGCUGCGACGACUUGUUACCUCCGUAUCGACCCCCUGGGGCUGACGAAGAUGAUGUGAUGACCCUCAACGCCUACUUAAACUGGCCCCUGCUUUGGCCGAAGAGCCAGAUUCGUUUGGGGGCGGGGGACACCACCCCACAGACAACACCGCCAAUUGUGCCGGCGCCAAGCCAUGGCAAGACCGCCGCAACGCUACCGCCGUCAGCUGAUCCGGACAUGCAUAUGGCACAAGAUCCGGAGGACGACGACGGUACAUUUUCCAACGUAGAUAAGUACAUCAACGAACAUGGGUACGGUGACGAAUUCUUGGGGCCUCCUUCUCAAGAAACCCACCCUACAAAAGAUGAUCGCGAUCUAGCUGGUACCACGGAGAAACCCAAUUGUAAUAGGCAUCGUCUGGCGUUCAGUUCUCAGGAGACGCCUCCAUCUGCUGCCUUCACCGAGACUCAAAUAGCCGAGGUGCAAAAUAUUAUCAGCCCCAACACACUCAAGAAGGUGGUCUCUGAGCAGAACUCGAUCCCAUUACAACAGAAGAAGCAGAAGGGACGAAAAAGAAAAAAUAACAAGGGUGCGAGCCAGCCGGCACCGAGUACGAUCCGUGCUCAGGACGGGCCACCAAUAUCUAAGGAUAUCUCGAGGAGGGUGCAUGUGGCGAGUAGGCCAAUGCUACCGACUAAUCUUCUCAAUGCUGCAACCGGUUCUAUGCGGAGUCUGCAUGACUGUGUUCUUUCUAUGGAGAAGCGGCGUCUCUCCGAGAAUAAUGUGGCAUACCCGGUUUUCGUGGCCAAGGUGCCAGAGGGCAAGAGCUUUGUCGAUAGCACCAUCGGGCGUAUGAUCGUCCUGCGGUUUGAUGACCUCUUUGCUAUGUUUCACCUUUAUCCGCUGCACUACACCUUCAUUCGGCUAUUUUCGCUCAGUAUGGAGAUGCGGGUCAUUAGAGACAAGAUCCCGUACAUCGUGAUAGUCGACCCCUUCUACAUGCGUGCCAAGAUCUUGGGCAACGCUAGGGACUGGCAAGUCGCGAGUUCAUACCUCGAAGGCGUCAUUCUGGCGAACCUAGAUAAGGAUAACUUCCUCAUGCCUUACUUUUCCGAGUAA
rnacentral:rRNA from 1 species